CGGGAUGCCAAAGAAAGAGGAAGUACAUCCGCAGCGGGGAGAUUUCUUCCGGCACCGGGCGCCUCGAGGAUCAUGGGAAAUCGACGCUUCGCGUUGCUUUUCGACAUCCCCCAUGUGAUGUCUUCCUCAAAUAUUUAAGACUUCUGAACCGUGUGUGUUGUGAAAAUAUGGCGGAUUUUGAUACUUACCACCGUUUCUCCCAGGGUUUAAAAAUUGAAACUCAUCUUUAGAACAACAAGAUUUUGUUACACCAGGUCAUGAGUUACCAAUGGAGGAAGAGCAGUGCUUUUGCCACUCAGAAUCUGAUUCCAUGUCUUUAAUCUACUAAUUCAGAGCACAUCACACUACUUACUUCAAUUCAGAAUAAGGACACGAAUCCUUCUAAGAAUGAGGUGCACACAUUCAAGCCCUGGGGUCCUGCACUGAAGGUGAGGCUUGCUGAGGCUUUUGUAGAGUUCAACCUGUUCUUGUACCCUUCUAUUGUCUUUAAACUGAAGGUCUAUCAAAAUGUAGGAGAGUGACAUCUGAAGUUGACCAAUAAAGCACUUUAGCAUGUCUAAGGUUUAUUGCUCUUUUAAAACAAGCUUAACUUUAUAAUGAUAAAUAAUUUAAAAUAAUGAAUUUGUAUUGUUGUUUUAGUAGUUUUGUAUUUUAUUUCAUUGUAUUUUAUAAUAAUUAUUGUAAUAUUUUAAAUGGAAGCAUAAAAAUAUACAGGACACCAAAUCAACUAUUCUAGUAGCUUUGCACACACAUAGGCACCAAUGAUCUACCGAAGACAGCCAUCUGCUAUCAGUUACUAUCCCUAAAAGUGGCGGGUGCUAUGUGACCACUUGGUUUUCAUCUGUAAAUGGAAAUAGCUGGAUGUGGUAUCAUUUAGUAACAUGUUAGCAAGAAAUCUGACAUAUUUUCAUAGUGCUACAGCACAAAGACAUACAGAUAUCAGUAAAUAGCUGGCUUAUUUUUUUAUUUUUAUAGGCAGUGAUUUUGGGUCAUUAAAUCAUCAGGAAUUUACUAACUUUCUUCUGAAGAGUUUUAGAUAUCAAAAUGUAUAUGUGGGCCAGGUUUUGUCAUGUAUGGCUACAUGAAGGCAAGAUUUUAUUUUUUUAUCAUUAAUAAAAAAUCUUUUAUUACUACACCA